rnacentral:ncRNA from 1 species
UGAUAGAGGCGCGGAUUUCAUCAGUAGGAAAUGCACACGGCACGGCCUGCCGCUUUUCUGAAAGGGAGCUCCGCCGAAGGCUUUUCUUCCCGGCCGGGGCAGAGAGUCUGGGUUGCCGCAGAAUAUGCGUCAGACUGUCACUUAAGGUGGAGCGCUAUCGGG